rnacentral:lncRNA from 1 species
CAUGUCCUUAGCAAAUAUUUUAUUUCAGAUGACUAUAGGUAUAAUAUAAUUACUUGUAAAGAAAUCAAAAGGAAACAGAAACAAGAUGUAGAGCCACAAGUGACCCCUUUGCCAAGCUGUCAGCUUUAUUAUAUCAAUAGGUUACAGUAGAUCACUGGCAUCAUUAGUACAUUAUUAUUCAUUGCAUCAUUAGGCAGGUACAGAGUUAACAACAUUAUUCAGCAUGUUCCUCAGUUAUACACUAAGACACAAUGUACAAUGUUAGAAGCCUGUGUAGCUCUCAAGAAAGUCCAUUGUUUGAAGUUAAUGUUAUGCAAACAGGUUUAGGAGGAGCAGAACUUGGUGAAACAUUGUGGUUGUGUAACAAGAGAGCUGCUUUACGCCCAGGAGCUGAGUGUCUGAAAUCAAGUUCAAUGCUGACAAGACUCUAGCUCUAAUGAGAGAAGAAGAAAAUUUGGCUAUUAGUGAGAGAAGAGUAAAGGAGAAGCAAUAAGAGGAAUAAAAAAGGUACAAACAACAAAUAUAAGAUAAUAAC